rnacentral:tRNA from 1 species
GGAGGUAUAGCUCAGUGGUACAGCCCUUGCCUGAUACACAUAUGACUCUGGGUUUGAUCCCCAGCAGCCCCC